rnacentral:ncRNA from 1 species
AACGUUCAACUUGUUUUUGCAAGCCGCAAAUCGACCUAGGCCAUGGAACGGGGACUUAG